rnacentral:tRNA from 2 species
GGAGCCGUGCCUGAAUAUAAAGGGACACUUUGAUAGAGUGAACUAUGAAGGUUAAAAUCCUCCCGGCCCCU